UUAUCCAGGGGUCAGGCCGGGGGUAGCCAGGAUCUCCAGACACCUGAGGAACCAGAGGAAAGGGGCAGUGCCCUGGUCCAGCUGCAAUUCAGCGAAACAGUGCUGGUAGUUUGAGUGCCUAAGUGCAUUCAGCGUGACAGGAAUCACCACAGAAGAUCAGCGUUCAGUUGGCUCCUGGCCACCCCAAGACUGAACAAGAGAGUCGUGGAAGGCGUUUAUUUACUCUGGAAUCUUUAAUACCCAACUGUCCGCUGCAGUGACUGAAAAACGGAACGUUGGCCCCUUGUUCUCAAAUGUAGCAAAGAUCAAUAGCACAGCAGAUGGGGCCACCCACACCAUGAGGAGACCGCAGCCAAGCUGCCUAAGCUCUGUCCACACCCCUUGGCUGAAGUCUCAGGAGGAUGAACCUGAGGAAGCGGCCUGCGAGAC